UACGUAGGGUGCAAGCGUUAAUCGGAAUUACUGGGCGUAAAGCGUGCGCAGGCGGUUGUGCAAGACAGAUGUGAAAUCCCCGGGCUCAACCUGGGAAUUGCAUUUGUGACUGCACGGCUAGAGUGUGUCAGAGGGGGGUAGAAUUCCACGUGUAGCAGUGAAAUGCGUAGAUAUGUGGAGGAAUACCGAUGGCGAAGGCAGCCCCCCUGGGAUAACACUGACGCUCAUGCACGAAAGCGUGGGGAGCAAACAGG
rnacentral:rRNA from 1 species